GCUACGGGAGGCUGCAGUGAGGGAUAUUGGUCAAUGGGAGAGAUCCUGAACCAGCCAAGCAGCGUGAGGGAAGACGGCCCUAUGGGUUGUAAACCUCUUUUGUCGGAGAACAAAACCCGGGACGUGUCCCGGCCUGCGUGUAUCCGAAGAAAAAGCAUCGGCUAACUCCGUGCCAGCAGCCGCGGUACUACGGAUGAUGCGAGCGUUAUCCGGAGUUAUUGGGUUUACAGGGUGCGUAGGCGGUCCGUUAAGUCAGCGGUAAAAUCGCGGGGCUCAACCCCGUCGGGCCGUUGAAACUGGCAGACGUGAGUUGGCGAGAAGUACGCGUAAUGCGCGGUGUAGCGGUGAAAUGCAUAGAUAUCGCGCAGAACUCCGAUUGCGAAGGCAGCGUACCGGCGCCAGACUGACGCUGAGGCACGAAAGCGGGGGGAUCGAACAGGAUUAGAUACCCUGGUAGUC
rnacentral:rRNA from 1 species